UCAUAUACCAUACAUUCCUCCAUGUUCUCCCUCUUUGAUAAACAAACCGUGUCGAUGGGGUUUCUGUUUUCACAGAUGAGCUGCACAGCAGAUGCCGCCAUAGCUGCUGCUAACGGCCGCCUCGCGGCCCAGUGCUCCGGAAGUGUGGCUGGUCCACCCAUGGAGCCUCUCCUCCCUCUGAACUUCUCAGUGAACACCUCCUUGGUCCAUUCCGGCUGCGCCACGCGUCUGGACACAUACCUUCACACCCGUGGAGAGAGGACGGGGGCCGCCAGCCUGGCCGUGACCUCCUGCCUCCCCCGGCUCAGCUUUAGGAGCUCCAUCCGCCACUCCCUGGGGGAGCUCCAGGCCCUGGGCCUCCCUCUUCACGCUGCCCUGGUCCUGGGCAUCUCAACCGGGGACCGGCCUGGUGUGGAGCUGGAAUUGGGCCGGUGCCGGAUCAGGGCUGAUUCCAGGGAAAACGAGGCUCGCUGGGUGUUCAAUGUGACCCACCACUGCCCGGCAUUACAGAGUGCAGGACUCCCUGUGUCACUGGCGUUCCACGGCCUCCUCUCAGUGGUCCCAUGUCAACUGGUCCUACACUGCACCCUGAAGAUGGACAGCGGUAAUCUAACCCUGGAGCUGGACCAGUCAUGCAGGCCGGCAGCACACCUCUCAGGCUCCCUGGCACACUCCUUCCCGGGCCUCUGGGCCCGGGGCCUCCCCCGGAAAACCAGCAUAGAGGCUUCGGCUCCGGGUGGCCGCGAAAGGGCCGGGGCCCUGCUGAUAACGGCCGACUCGUGUCAGGUCAGAGCCAAAGGAGACCUGGGCCCUAAUGGAAGGACUCUGUUGCUGUGGGCUACUGAGUCAGACUGUCCCUUGAUACAGGGCCUUGGCCUCCCCUCCCAGGUCCGUCUCAACGGCUCAGUGGGUACAGACGACCGGAGCGUCUGGACGGCCAUGUUGGACGCGAGCGUGUACGGACAGCAGACUGGUUCCUUGAGGCUGACCGCUGGGGCGGGGCCUGGGCCGAGCUUGGAGGGACUCCUCAGUCACAACCUCACGGUACUGGCCUCACUACCGGACCAGAGUAAGGUGGUGGUCACCACCGGGGGUGGGGCAGACUCACAGGGUUACGGUGCAGAGGCGUGGCUACAGCUGAGGGGUUGUGUCGUGAGUGGCUCUGUGACGGUGAGGACGGGACAUCACCUGCAGGGGGCAGCAGUGUACCACACCAACUGCACUGCGCUGCAGAAAUGGGGCAGCCCACAAAAGAUGAAAGCUGCUGCUUCAUUGGCCAUCACCCAAACACUAUUAGACGCCAGCAUCUCUACGACAACGGAUGACAGGGAACUGCAGGCUUUGAUAGCCCUGAGGAACACAAAGGUAGGACUCUGUUUUUUUCCUUUCAUUGAUUCGCCGCUACAAACCAGAACCGGAGGUGAACGAUGCUGUGUCCACCUCCGUUUGUGUGUGUCAGGGUAGGCAGGAAGUGUCAGCCUUUCUCAACCACUCUGUGCCUCGGCUACAAAGGGUGGGCCUCCCCGACAAUGCUACCAUGGCAAUGCUUUUGGAGAGCCAUGGCAACGGCUCCUACCACUGGCUCCUGCACUGCUCCGGUGGUAGCCAGCAGGUAAGCUGGUCAACAGCAAUAGCUAAUAGAUAACCUGACCUUGAACUGUUGUCCCGCAAAACAAGGGCUUUCUUUUCGUCUGUUUUCAUCUACUUCUUAUGCACUCGUUGUAAUUAAAUGAGAACCGAACAUUAAAAGGGUUUUAGGUAACUCAGGCAUUGUUUUUACCCAGAUGCUUUUGAUCCGGUCUGAUAUCAGUGAAAAACAAUAGAAAGGAUAGAAGGAAGAGAAAUGUGUCGAGAUAUUAUUCCUUACGUACAUGAAAACCUUGUCUUUCUCUAAGAUGACUUUAUAACCAAGGUACCGCACUUGAUAUCCAUUUAUUUCUCUUGACCUAUUCUCAAAUUCCUACUUUAUAUUCGAAAAGAGCAAAUGUGUGGUCAGUGUAUGUCUGUCUCGAAGGCAAGACCUCUGUUUGUGUCAGUUGCUUGAAGAGGUGACAGUGGACAGCACUGGGGUUAUAACAGUGGAGAGUCAUGUCAACCACACUAUGGACAUCUUGAGGAACUGGGGACUGUCAGAGAACAACAGUGUACAGGUGAGAAACAUACAAUAAUACUGCUUCACACGUGUGAGCCAAACCAAACCAACAUGAACCGAUAUGAACCGGUAUGAACCGACAUGGACCGACCUGAACCAAAAUGAACAAGGUUGACCACAGUGAUUGGAACCCACCUGGUCAGCGUGAACUGACUUUGCUGUGCUUUCAGAUAGUGCUUGGUUCUGGGGAGGUGAAGACCCUGACAGCCUUAUCCCAAUUCGGAGCUCGAUUAGCAGGACUGAAGCUUCAGCUGAAGGAGGGUCCCAUGACUACUGACCUGACAGGAAACCUGUGGCACAAUUGGCACUGGCUUCAAGAACGAGGGAUCCCACCAACAAUGGAGGUAGAGUUGUAUCUAGUCCACCAAGCCUCUUAGAAUUAUUUGUUAAUACCUACUGUAAUUGUGGGGUUUGGAGUUCAUUUGGUUGUCUGGAUUCCUUCACUUUGUUUAAAUUACUUCAGUCUUUAAUCUUCAGAGGCGAGUUGGACAAGCUAACUAUACUAAAUAAGAAAUGUUUUGGGGAAAACAUGCUUCCCUUCCAACUCUUUCUCUCCCCGCCUCUCCUCCUCCUGCUCCUCCUCCUGCUCCUCCUCCUGCUCCCAGGUCCGAUGCUCUGUUCACGGGGUCCUGUCUGAGCUGCGGUCCGGGGCUCACGUCUUCGUGGACGGACACAGGCUCCUGGCAUCUGGCCUCAAUAUCAGCCUGGGCGAAGGUCGUGUGGCCGCACGGCUGUUUCUGACCCCUCCCUCCUCACUGCGUACAAACCGGCCCCACAGCCUGGACUCCGCCCUAGACUCCACCCUAGACUCCACCCUAGACUCCGCCCUAGACACCGCCCUGACUGCCCAGUUAACAGGUUAGUGGAUCAGCUAACAUCACUGACAGAAAUGGAAACCUUUUUGUUUUUUCUGUG
rnacentral:lncRNA from 1 species